CAGAGCUCCAGGCUAGAAGCCAAGUCACACAGGGCAUGAGCAGCUUCAGAAAUAACCACCAUUCAGGUUUGUUUACUGCAAGGAGCUCUCGAAGGAAACCAUCAAAUUAAGGAAAAUAAAGUUUUCCUUUGCCUCUGUACCUGCAGGAAGAAAAUCUCUUGGCAAGCAUCGGGUUAUGGACUUUGUUUCCAUUUGGACCAUUCUGCUUCCUGCUGAAAAUGAGCAACUGACUGCACUGGAAACUUUCUGCAAUUUGCUCAGACUAACAGCUUGGAUGCCUGCUGGAUUCUGA
rnacentral:lncRNA from 1 species